UUGUACUAAAACUGUUUAAGAUGAAUGUGAUCGGUCGGAGUCGGACCAUAGAGAUAAGUAGUAGUCUUUUGGUACAUUUUGUAGUCUUUUUGUGAUGCAAAUCUAUUUGCGUGUUUUGAUAGAAAACCAUAAGAAAGAUAUUUUGAAGCAUGAAAAGUAUCAAAUUAUGAAGGAAUCUUAUUUUGCAUAUAUUUUGUUCUUCAAAGGAUGAUUUUUGGAUAAGAACGGAUAUUAUCGGUCUUUCUCUGAGAUGUCAAAGUCAAUAUAAAUCACCAUUUAAGGAAAAAUAAAGAAAAGAAAAGAAAAAACAAAUAGCAAAGUAUCUCAAGCUGCAUAUAUAUAUUACUCUGUCGUCUGUGGUGAAGAGCAUUCCAAUUCGAACCAAUUGAUUUAUUUUUUAUAUUUUUUUGUUUCUUAGUUUUGUGUGUGUGGAACAAACCCAGAGGAGUCUAAAACACACACACUUAAUUGGUAAAGAAAAAGGGGAUAAAUUGUAAUAGUACUUGAUUACAACUUAAAACAUGCCUAAGAACACACCAACCUAUCAACCAUUUCCUUCACCUUGAUCAUUUACAUUUU
rnacentral:lncRNA from 1 species